rnacentral:lncRNA from 1 species
UGGAGUAGAGAGAGCCAUCACAGGGUUGUUUGCAGGAAGAAUCCAAGAGCCUGUCAGCCAGUGGCCAGAAGGAGAUGAGAGGUAAAAAGAACCAGCCCAAACCUCCCGGAUUGAAGUCUCCAAUGAUUCAUUCAACAAACUGUGACAGAAACAAUUUGCUUCAGAGAAACCUUGCUCCCUGGAGAAUCUGUCGCUCUGUGUCAUCCUCAGGGACAAGAAAAUUCAAGAACAAACCAGCAUGAAUGUGGGCAAAGAGGUGACAUGGGAAAGUGGGCACUUCCUCUACAAGGGUUUGAGUCAGAGAAGAAAACAGAUGCACACGUUUUCAAGAAGAGGAAACUGAGACACAGCGUCCCAAGAAGGUGAGGACACGGUCACUGAAGAGCAAGUCUGUAGUCCAAAGAGAACCGCAUUGCACAGUGAGCUGCCUGACCUCGGGAUCCCAGAAAUCAGAUCCUCGUGCUACAACCUAAAAAAGCAGUUGCCACGGAUCUGGGCACCGGCCACCAUCCCAGCACUCAGGAGGCCGAGGCAA